AUAGCAGUGGCAGUAUCAUAACCAAUGAAGUUAAUCUGAGGUGUGAUGAUUGCUAGUUGAAAACUUUCCUGUGGGAUAUUUUUGAGUGCUUUGUCUUGCUAGAACAUUCACAUUUUCUAAGUGUAAAUGAAGUUU
ensembl:snRNA U4 U4 spliceosomal RNA